CAUUUCUCCACAGGAGUGACACUAAGAACACAUAUGGUGGAAUUGCAAUUUACAUAUAUAAAAGGUGCAUUGAUAUGUUGUACUGUACAAAUAUCCAAUGCACAUACUUUUGUUUGUAAAGUCUUGUCGGCAAUCCGUAUGUGUUCUCAGGUCACCCCUUUGGAGCACCA
rnacentral:pre_miRNA from 1 species